GCGCCAAUAGUGUGGCGGUGUCAUGCAUGCCUCCUGUGCAUGCAACCCGGGUUCGAGUCCCGCCUAGUGCA
rnacentral:tRNA from 1 species